rnacentral:rRNA from 1 species
UACAGAGGGGGCAAGCGUUAUUCGGAAUUAUUGGGCGUAAAGGGCGCGUAGGCGGCUUUCAAGUGACGGGUGAAAUCCCUCGGCUUAACCGAGGAACUGCCUGUCAGACUGGAAGGCUUGAGACCGGGAGAGGUGAGUGGAAUUCCCAGUGUAGCGGUGAAAUGCGUAGAUAUUGGGAGGAACACCAGUGGCGAAGGCGGCUCACUGGACCGGAACUGACGCUGAGGCGCGAAAGCGUGGGGAGCAAACAGG